ACCGCCGACCUUCUCUUUGUCCUUGUUGUCCAGGGACGAGGAGAGACGAGGGCUCGAGGCUGAGCGCAUCACCCCGGUUGUGUCCUUCUCCCGCUGCGCCUCCUUGGUGGCCGUGAUCUCCGCCAGCGCCCCGUAGCUGCCCGUCUUCCUCAAGCCCAGGCGCCAAGACGCCGGACUCUCGUCCUUCCUCUCCUCCUCAACUUUAGCGGAGACCUUCGCGGCAGGCUGAGCGACCUGAGCGGGAAGAGAGCAAGGCGGUGGAUUAACUACGCCGCCGUUCUCCAUUUACGAUCAUGAGGAUGUUAAAAAAUGGGAUUUUUUUUAGUGGUCUUGUGGUGCCAGAACUGCGACAGGCAGCUGGAGGUGUAUGAUGACAAACGCCACACGAUCGUACCUUCUUCACCGGUGAAGUGGGGGCUGUCACCUGGUUGGUCGGGCUCGCCGGAGACACGGUGACGGUGGUGGGGACGGGCGUGGUGCUGUUGCUCACCGACGCUGAAGGCUUGCUCUUGUCUGGGGGAGUCAGGGAAAAGCAGUUGCAGUAAAAAUAUACCGAGCUGUUGAGUGCACCGUACCUGCUUCCGUCUCCGACUCCGAAUCUUCCUCCUCCUCUUCCUCGCUGGAGCAGCUUGACUCGUCCUUCUUCCCCUCCUCCACUUCAUCCACCUUCUCUGGCUCUAAGGUCUCGAUGCGUGGGGCGAUGCUCUUCUCUGGCUCCAGGAGCAGCGUUUCUUUGCUGCGAACGCACAAAUUUAACAGCGCCAGUCGUACAGUAGAGAGAGAACAAAAGGUAAAAGGUGGUUUAAUAAUCCUAACUCUUGAUCGAUGGAUUUUUUUUUUUUUACACAAUCCAUCUUUUCUUACCUCUUGAGUGGUUUCAGCGAUUGGUUGUUAUCCCCUGUGGUUGUCGUUUCAAUCAAGGGAGAUUUCUUAACAUCUUUCUUCUCACUCAUUAGCUGGAAUGAAAGGAAACAAAAAUAUGUAAGAGGACAAAAGGGCAUGUAUUUUGGUUCAGAUAAGAAUCGUUACACAACCGACAGCCGCGCUGACUCACCAGGUUUUGUUUCUUUUGUAGCUCUUCUAAAUAACCCAGAACGUCUUCGUCUGCUACAUCAAAAGGCGUCUGGCCCUGAGGCAAAGAAGUAAAAAUAAAGAUAUUUAUAGAUAAGAUAUUUAUCUGAAAUAUCAACUGCGCAGGACUCACGACACGACAGUCAGGUUACUCACCAUUUU